CAAGAAGCAGAGGGCGACAAGGGGUUCUCCACCAAACCCUAAUUCACACAAAAACCACAAAUUAAGGGCUUAAAUCAACUUGAAAUCGAAAUCUAAGCAUAGAAUCGUGAUCACCUCGUCAAAGGGAUCAUAAGGCAAGGAAUCCGGAACGUCAAGCGGACACGCCGGAGGGGAUACACAUGGAAAAGGUGUGCUUUAAGGGUGACGUUGGUCUUAUCCCGGAUGGCGAUCAAGUAGAAAUCCAAGAACCGAACACGCAUUUUGAAAGCUUCCGCGUUAACGUAACUUCAUCUAGACAAAGUUUUUGAUGUAAAUGACUUGUUACUCAUAUUAUGAAUGUUUUAAACUAGUCGAUAGUUGACUAGUAAGUGUCACUUUGAAACUUUUAUUUUGUAGUUAUGUAA